rnacentral:rRNA from 1 species
GACGAACGCUGGCGGCGUGCCUAAUACAUGCAAGUCGAACGCAGUGGGGACGGGUGAGUAACACGUGGGUAACCUCCCAUCAGAGGGGAUAACACUUGGAAACAGGUGCUAAACUGAUACUGAUGGAUGGACCCGCGGUGCAUUAGCUAGUUGGUGUGGUAACGGCGCACCAAGGCCCCGAUGCAUAGCUGAACGGAGAGGGUGAUCGGCAACACUGGGACUGAGACAGGGCCCAGACUCCUACGGGAGGCAGCAGUAGGGAAUCUUCGGCAAUGGGCGAAAGUCUUAGCGAGCAACGCCGCGUGAGUGAAGAAGGUGUUCGGAUCGUAAAGCUCUGUUGUUAGUGAAGCGGUAUCUAACCAGAAAGCCACGGCUAACUACGUGCCAGCAGCCGCGGUAAUUC